rnacentral:rRNA from 1 species
UACGUAGGCAGCGAGCGUUGUUCGGAAUUACUGGGCGUAAAGAGUGUGUAGGCGGUGUUCCCAGUCUGUUGUGAAAUCUCCCGGCUCAACUGGGAGGGUGCGCCGGAUACUGAGGGGCUAGAGUGUGGGAGAGGAAAGUGGAAUUCCUGGUGUAGCGGUGAAAUGCGUAGAUAUCGGGAGGAACACCUGCGGUGUAGACGGCUUUCUGGACCAUUACUGACGCUGAGACACGAAAGCGUGGGUAGCAAACAGG